rnacentral:rRNA from 1 species
AUUGAACGCUGGCGGCAUGCCUUACACAUGCAAGUCGAACGGCAGCACGGGAGCAAUCCUGGUGGCGAGUGGCGAACGGGUGAGUAAAGUAUCGGAACGUGCCCAGUCGUGGGGGAUAACGUAGCGAAAGUUACGCUAAUACCGCAUACGAUCUAUGGAUGAAAGCGGGGGAUCGCAAGACCUCGCGCGAUUGGAGCGGCCGAUAUCAGAUUAGGUAGUUGGUGGGGUAAAGGCUCACCAAGCCGACGAUCUGUAGCUGGUCUGAGAGGACGACCAGCCACACUGGGACUGAGAGACGGCCCAGACUCCUACGGGAGGCAGCAGUGGGGAAUUUUGGACAAUGGGCGAAAGCCUGAUCCAGCCAUGCCGCGUGCAGGAUGAAGGCCUUCGGGUUGUAAACUGCUUUUGUACGGAACGAAAAGGUUUGGCCUAAUAAGCUGAGCUCAUGACGGUACCGUAAGAAUAAGCACCGGCUAACUACGUGCCAGCCGCCGUCGUAAAAC